GGGCGCAAGCCUGAUGCAGCCAUGCCGCGUGUAUGAGAAGGCCUUCGGGUUGUAAAGUACUUUCAGCAGUGAGGAAGGUGGGUAUGUUAAUAGCAUAUUCAUUUGACGUUAGCUGCAGAAGAAGCACCGGCUAACUCCGUGCCAGCAGCCGCGGUAAUACGGAGGGUGCGAGCGUUAAUCGGAAUUACUGGGCGUAAAGCGCAUGCAGGUGGUUUGUUAAGUCAGAUGUGAAAGCCCGGGGCUCAACCUCGGAAUUGCAUUUGAAACUGGCAAACUAGAGUACUGUAGAGGGGGUAGAAUUUCAGGUGUAGCGGUGAAAUGCGUAGAGAUCUGAAGGAAUACCGGUGGCGAAGGCGGCCCCCCUGGACAGAUACUGACACUCAGAUGCGAAAGCGUGGGGAGCAAACAGGAUUAGAUACCCUGGUAG
rnacentral:rRNA from 1 species